ACUUCAGAUAUAAACAGCACGAACAGAUGAACUGUUCAAAAGCAAAAUUUCUGUUGGUAAUUGCUUUUAGCAAUUCAAAAAAAGGAGAAGAAAAUUACAUGACACACUUGCCAAGGUGUCUGCAAGCAGAAUGUUUGUCUCCGGCAUUACCAGCCAAAGUUGUGUAGAUGCUUCAUUAAAAAUGUAGAAAAAGCAAUAUAAAUAUUUUGUAUAUGAAACCACAGCUAAUAUUAAAGAGUUUAACUGUUAUUGCACAGCUCACUGCUAGGGGUAAUCAGCUAGACUUUCUCCUCACGGCUGAGCACUCCAAGUAGGGCCCCCAGCCCCCUGCUCAAUACAGACGUGCUCUGAGGUAGAGCAGGCAGGACACGAGUCACCCCUUUCCCUAUACCCUGCUACCAGUGGUAAGCUCUUUGAGGUCACUUGAGCUAAAUUAUGUAUCCUCUUGUGUACAGGAAAAGGAAGGAUGCUGAUGCCCAGUUCAGAAGCAUCAAAUCCAACUGAAAGCCGUGGGAGUUCAGGGGCUGGGCUCAGCGGAGGGUUUUGAAGAGCCUCCUUUGAGGUGUAAAAGGGUAUUUAUCCAGAAUUAUGUGCCUAUGGGAUGAAAGAGGGUUCAGAAAGAUCCUGUACAGCUCUCAACAUGCCUAAACUCAUCAGCAUUUAUCUUUUGGCCUGCACCCUCCUGGCGCUGUCAGCUCUCUUCACUGACCGCUGCAAGGGCAAAUAACGUGCUUUCUGCUGACGCCCUGCUAGGGCCAGGGGUUUAGCGUUUCUGUCCGGAUCUUGUCCCGUGCAAUUUGUCUUUGGUAACGCAGAUAAAGCAGGAAACUGUAUCCAGAAAUACAGCAGCUAGUGAUUUGGGGAUUCUCCAUUUUGAGUCCUGAAAGUCAGUAAUCAGUGAUCACAAGGGAGAAGAAAGCUCGGCUCUUUCCACAGGAAAGUGGCAGUCCUUAGCAGUCCACCACUUAUGCAGUCCUCUAGACAAACUAAACUGGAAGGGGGGCAGGGAGAGUGUUCCCUGUUUCAAAGGAUUUUCUAUUUUCUCAUCUCCUUCUUUCCUUUCUAUUGUUCUGCCUGAUUUUCGCUGUUCUCUGUAAUGGCAUUUCCUUAAGGUCAAUCUAUUGUUAUUUAGGAGUGUGAUAGAGGUAAGUCAGGCUGAGUCAUGCAAUAUUUGCCAACUCCACACCUUUCAGCAUUCUGCUGCAGAGAAUGGAGAUUUGCCCUUGCUGUCAUUGCUCAACAUUUUCCUCCCUUCCUGACAUAUUACAGGUGCCAGGGAUGCAGCUUUCAGGGCUAACCACAGAUG